GGUGGCUUAUUGGUAGAGCGCCUGCCUUGCAUGCAUGAGGCCCUGGGUUCAAUUCCUCAGCACCA
rnacentral:tRNA from 1 species